ensembl:lncRNA
CAUCUAGGCUGAGAGGGAACAUCAGUAUUUAGUCAUAUAGAGUCAUCUAGGCUGAGAGGGAACAUCAGUGUUUAGUCAUAUAGAGUCAUCUAGGCUGAGAGGUAACAUCAGUAUUUAGUCAUAUAGAGUCAUCUAGGCUGAGAGGUAACAUCAGUAUUUAGUCAUAUAGAGUCAUCUAGGCUGAGAGGGAACAUCAGUGUUUAGUCAUAUAGAGUCAUCUAGGCUGAGAGGUAACAUCAGUAUUUAGUCAUAUAGAGUCAUCUAGGCUGAGAGGUAACAUCAGUAUUUAGUCAUAUAGAGUCAUCUAGGCUGAGAGGGAACGUCAGUAUUUAGUCA